rnacentral:rRNA from 1 species
UAGGGAAUCUUCGGCAAUGGACGAAAGUCUGACCGCGCAACGCCGCGUGAGUGAAGAAGGUUUUCGGAUCUUAAAACUCUGUUGUUAGAGAAGAACAAGGACGUUAGUAACUGAACGUCCCCUGACGGUAUCUAACCAGAAAGCCACGGCUAACUACGUGCCAGCAGCCGCGGUAAUACGUAGGUGGCAAGCGCUGUCCGGAUUUAUUGGGCGUAAAGCGAGCGCAGGCGGUUUCUUAAGUCUGAUGUGAAAGCCCCCGGCUCAACCGGGGAGGGUCAUUGGAAACUGGGAGACUUGAGUGCAGAAGAGGAGAGUGGAAUUCCAUGUGUAGCGGUGAAAUGCGUAGAUAUAUGGAGGAACACCAGUGGCGAAGGCGGCUCUCUGGUCUGUAACUGACGCUGAGGCUCGAAAGCGUGGGGAGCAAACAGG